ACGGGGUGCAGCAGGCGAGAAAACUUUGCAAUGUGCGAAAGCACGACAAGGUUAAUCCGAGUGAUUCCUGCUAAAGGAAUCUUUUGUUAGUCAUAAAACCACUAUUGAAUAAGGGGUGGGCAAGUUCUGGUGUCAGCCGCCGCGGUAAAACCAGCACCUCAAGUGGUCAGGAUGAUUAUUGGGCCUAAAGCAUCCGUAGCCGGCUCUGUUAGUUUUCGGUUAAAUCCAUAUGCUCAACAUAUGGGCCGCCGGGAAUACUACAAAGCUAGGGAGUGGGAGGGGUAGACGGUACUCCGUAGGAAGGGGUAAAAUCCUUUGAUCUCUCGAUGACCACCUGUGGCGAAGGCGGUCUACCAGAACACGUCCGACGGUGAGGGAUGAAAGCUGGGGGAGCAAACCGGAUUAGAUAUCCGGGUAGUCCCAGCUGUAAACUAUGCAAACUCAGUGAUGCAUUGGCUUGAUGCCAAUGCAGUGUUGCAGGGAAGCCGUUAAGUUUGCCGCCUGGGAAGUACGUACGCAAGUAUGAAACUUAAAGGAAUUGGCGGGGGAGCAC
rnacentral:rRNA from 1 species